CGCCCGCGGAACCAACCACCACCUGCAGGAACACAAAUCGGAAUCGGCGUGAGCAAAAAAGGAGGCACCGGAUCCCCGACGGGCGACGACGGACGAGCGCCCCGGAAGGCAAGAAAACGGGCGAGCGAAUCGAGAGCUGGCGGCGCCGGUCCUCACCGGAGAUCGACGGGCGAAAGCGGAGAUCUUUAUUUUUGUAUUUUUUUUUCUUUCUUGUUCGUUCUUAGGUUUUCCGGGGGGGCAGCCAAUCAACCAGUCGGAGGAUGGGGAGGAACGGGGCGAUGGAUGGUAAUAAUAGUAUGCGGCCGGAGGUGGUGAUGAGCUGCUGGUGGAGGAGGGGGAGGAGCCUCGCGUCGCCUCGCCUCGCGACCUCGGAGCCCUCCUCCUCUGAGAGGGGGAAGAAGAAAUACUCUCGCCUCUCGCCUCUCUCGGGCGCUCGCUCUCUCUCUCUCUCUAGC
rnacentral:lncRNA from 1 species